rnacentral:rRNA from 1 species
UGAGUGAAGAAGGCCUUCGGGUUGUAAAGCUCUUUUGUCAGGGAAGAAACGGUGAGGGCUAAUAUCCCUUGCUAAUGACGGUACCUGAAGAAUAAGCACCGGCUAACUACGUGCCAGCAGCCGCGGUAAUACGUAGGGUGCAAGCGUUAAUCGGAAUUACUGGGCGUAAAGCGUGCGCAGGCGGUUUUGUAAGUUUGUCGUGAAAGCCCCGGGCUCAACCUGGGAAUUGCGAUGAAGACUGCAAGGCUUGAAUCUGGCAGAGGGGGGUAGAAUUCCACGUGUAGCAGUGAAAUGCGUAGAGAUGUGGAGGAACACCGAUGGCGAAGGCAGCCCCCUGGGUCAAGAUUGACGCUCAUGCACGAAAGCGUGGGGAGCAAACAGGAUUAGAUACCCUGGUAGUCCACGCCCUAAACGAUGUCUACUAGUUGUCGGGUUUUAAUUAACUUGGUAACGCAG